UAUUUAUAACGAAUGAAUGAAUUUAUGAAAGAGAGAGAGUGUGUGUGGUUGGGACUUAUAAUAAUGCCUACGAAGACCUAAACGGCCAAGUUCACAGUGUGUAUGAAGGAGCAGACACGUGGUUAGUUACACGCAUCUAUGCGAAUGCGAUUAUAAGUUAAAUACUAUUCGGUAUAAAACUGAAAGUCAUUUUUUAUUUUUCCAUUUGGAGAUAUCUUUUUUGUAGUUAUUUUUGAAACAUAAUGAUUAUAGGUUUUGGUAAAAUAAUGAUUAUAGUUAUCAUAAAUAUCUAAACCUUAUCGUA